CAGUAUCCAAUCCUGCAGACAGAAAGGAGCUCUGAGGAGCUGUAUGAAAUGAAAGACUUAUAGGCAGAAGGGAGCAGGAACAAGGAAGUUCUACUACACAAAAAAGCAGAUCAGUUAAUGCAAGGUUACUUUCCUUUAGGGGAUGGCAAGUGUCUAUCAGGCGGAUUACCUAACUAGUGCUGAUCAGGUGAUUCCUGGUUGACUGGUUUAAGAUUCCAUUUCUGGGAGAGCCCAAAUUGUAAUUACGGAGGAGGAAGAGAAGAAGAAGAAAAAAGACGAUUGGCAACAGAUGUUAGCUCAGGUGCCAAUCAAAAAAACAACAAAAGAAUCCUCUGAGAAUGAAGUCAGCGAACCAACAUUUUUGACAACAGGCAUCCUGAUAAUUCUCUUACACAUGAAACUAUGCAUUGGACCCUCAGCUGCCUCAACUUGCCUUCUCAAGGAACUACUGAAAUCAUCCAGGAAUUCUCAAGGUCUGGAGUUGUAGGUUCUUCUGGUUGUGCUAUAUGGGAUGCUGCCUCAACGUGGCUUGAUGAGCAGAGCCAUGUCUGUGCCCAGGAUCCGAACCAGUGAAACCCUGGGCCGCCAAAGCAGAGUGUGCCAACUUAAUCGCUCGGCCACAGGGCUGUCCCCUCUCAGAGGAUUCUUAUCUCCAAGGCUUAAGGAGCCUUGGAUUUGACUGCUGUAUGUCCACCAUCUCAUGGUGCAGCAUACAUAGAAAAUGACAAAUGAGAAUUUCAAAUGGGGGGUUUGACUGCCCUUGUGUCUGCUGCCCAGCUGCCUGGGGGCUGAGGAGGCUCAGGAUCGUGCACGCCUAUAACGGAAGCCCUGUACCAGACCGUGAGCACCGUGAGACCAUGGGGCCAUGUAUCUCUGUGCCUGGCACAGUUGUUGACUGGAUAAAUCACUAGAUUCACUCCUGGUGCAAAGGUAGACAUUGGGAUAAAAUAAUUCCCGCCAAGGUGCUAGAGAUUUACCCAGUAAAUAUACACAUGUAAGACUGCCCUACAUUUUGGAAACAUUAGCUCUUGAGAAUAGAAGAUCUUUUGCGGCAAUGGACUUUUCCCAGCACCUGCCAUCAUGCUGAAUGGCAUCCUUGCCCUGCAGUGAGAGUGAGAGGUGAAGACUAGUAUGCCUCAGGGAGAGGGAGGAGUAAGAUAAGGAAGGAGGCUUGGGGAGAGAGCAAAGAACAGAGAGAAGACAAAAAGACAGGAAGAGAGGAGCGUUUCAGGACUGGAGUCUUUUUUAAUGGGACUGAGGGGGAAUGGUUGUCUGAACAAACCCAGGAAGUUGCUGUGACGUGCACUCUUUUCUACCUUAUCUGCAGGCAGCUCCGGCCAGAUAAGGGGUGUCACUGUGAUUUCUCAGCCUUGGCUGUUGUGGCUGUGUGGUUGUUCAACUCCCAGCCCUGAGUGUCUGUGUACGGGCUUCCCUGGAUUUUCUCAGAAAUCCAAAUGGUUGGCGCAAGGAUUCAGACAGACUUUGGAAACUGAGCUGCUGAGAGUUGAGAGCCCAGCUGGUAAGGGUCUCACUCUGGGGGAAGCCAGCAGCCAGGAUGUAAGGACACUCAGGAAGCCCUAUGGAGAAACCCACAUGACGGUACAAACUAUGAAGUCAGGGAUCGUGUCUGAUGUUGCACUUCACUGCAUUCUUCAAGGAGCUCAAUGCCUGGCCCGGAAGUUCCCAGUGCUGAGUAGGGAUGCGAGUGGGAAGUUGACUGCGGUCUGCAGUGGUCCAGAAAGACUGUUUUGUGGUUUGUUCAUUAAAUUCAGAACUAUUUAUUGAGUACCUGUCAGACUCCAAGCCCCAAGCUAGGUACUGGAAAUACAUUGAUGAAUAAGACAGGUUUAACCUCCACCGUAAAGGAACUUUUUAUCUAGAAGGAUGUGUGAGGCUGCUAGAGUCUUUUGGUCCAGUGGACACACAUGCAGCAGUUCGCUCUGGCGGCGUU
rnacentral:lncRNA from 1 species